rnacentral:rRNA from 1 species
AUUGAACGCUGGCGGCAGGCCUAACACAUGCAAGUCGAACGAGUGGCGGACGGGUGAGUAAUGUCUGGGAAACUGCCCGAAGGAGGGGGAUAACUACGGGAAACGGUAGCUAAUACCGCAUACCAUCGGAUGUGCCCAGAUGGGAUUAGCUAGUAGGUGGGGUGACGGCUCACCUAGGAGACGAUCCCUAGCUGGUCUGAGAGGAUGACCAGCCACACUGGAAAUGAGACACGGUCCAGACUCCGACGGGAGGCAGCAGUGGGGAAUAUUGCACAAUGGGCGCAAGCCUGAUGCAGCCAUGCCGCGUGUAUGAAGAAGGCCUUCGGGUUGUAAAGUACUUGCAGCGAGGAGGCGUUACUCGCAGAAGAAGCACCGGCUAACUCCGUGCCAGCAGCCGCGGUAAUUC